rnacentral:rRNA from 1 species
GCAAGUCGAACGGGUUAUCUUUGUAGCUUGCUAUAGAGAUAAUUAGUGGCAGACGGGUGAGUAAUGCAUAGGAAUCUACCUAGUAGUAUAGGAUAGCCACUAGAAAUGGUGGGUAAUACUGUAUAAUCCCUGCGGGGGAAAGAUUUAUCGCUACAUGAUGAGCCUAUGUUAGAUUAGCUAGUUGGUAGGGUAAAGGCCUACCAAGGCGAUGAUCUAUAGCUGGUCUGAGAGGAUGAUCAGCCACACUGGAACUGAGAUACGGUCCAGACUCCUACGGGAGGCAGCAGUGGGGAAUAUUGGACAAUGGGCGCAAGCCUGAUCCAGCUAUGCCGCGUGAGUGAGGAAGGCCUUAGGGUUGUAAAACUCUUUCAGUAGGGAAGAUAAUGACGGUACCUACAGAAGAAGUCCCGGCAAACUC